AGAAGAAGAAGAAGAAGAAGAAGAAGAGGCGGUUUUGCGUUCAGCAUUUUCGCUUUUAUUUAUAUCCAUUAAUUUAUUUUCCGUAUUUCCUUCUUCUUUUUUUGUUCUUCUUGUCUUCUU
rnacentral:ribozyme from 12 species